GUACUCGAGUAGUCGAGACGAGUACGUUCUGUCGUUGAGACUUUGACUCUUUUCAUCCUUUUCCUCAGUAGAAUUUUCACCGUCGUGAGUUUUGUGAUGACGCCGCUGAACAAAAAUUCCCAAUUUCUGAAACCCUAGGAGAGAGAGUUUUCUCAUUGCUUCCGAAGCUAAAUAUGAUUCUGCUAAGCUCGGUGCUGAUUUCCAAUGUUCCAUGGACUUAGGGAGAGCACUGGAUAUGUAAGUAUGUAACUCCUAAAAACUUCACAGAAGAACUCAUCUAUCCGUUGCGUUUUUUAUGUUUAUCACAUGAGCUGGGUAGUGAGACUCAUGGGCCUCAUGACUCGUGAGCCAAUGCGCACUGCAUUUAGCAUCGACCAGUUUGGGUGGCUGCCUACUGAGAUAGCGCUUGGGGAAAAUCACUUGUAACAGAGGUCACCAAUGUUGUCAAAUUGCUGAUAUCCGGAGUUGAAGUGCAACUGCCUGUUUAGGUUUUGAUCGCUCUUGGCCUCCACAGGACUGAGGGACUGCAGAUUCUUAGCCUAAAACCCAACUAUGUGGUCAUUGAUUGAACUUAAGUUUUUCUCGAUCUGAUUGGUUGCACACCUAAGCCCUGUAAGCACUACUAUCAUUUUGUGUAAAUCUGUUUUUUGUUAUCAGUAAUAGAACAGUUGAAUGCUUAAGUAGUUUGCUUGCCCUCUCCAUCGUCUGCAAUUGACUGUAAAUCAAAUACAUGUUUGAUCAGUAGGAACUAGGAACUCCUUUGAUUGACAGUCCAGUAAAACCAUUAUAAAUUAAGCACAAAUCCCAUUUCAUGCAUGUGUGGUCUUCAAUAUGUACGAGCAUAAUGUUAGGAUAAAUAGGAAAGAGUAGUGAGUCCAGUGACCCAAAAUGCUUUUGGAAGAUCAUAAAUAAAACUACUGGUUGAUGUGAUGAUUAUUCUUUACUGUUUAGGGGCUUUGGUUUGUUUCACAUGUGGAAUUAGGGGGCACUAUAGUAGAACAAAAGUGAAAAUGUCUAGAAAAUUGCAGAACUCAUGUUUUUAUAGAGGUAAACUAAGAAGUUUGAGGGUAUCCGUGGUUCCAUGACCCUUCAAAUAUUUUUCCUGUUAGAUAGACAUAAAAAAUGGAUGUGUCAUGCACAUCUUAAUCUCUGGUAAUUCCUCCUCAACUUGAUUUGUUUUUGUCGGAUUGAAGAAUUUAGGAUUCACAAAGAAAAUCUUUGCUCAAAAACCCAGUUAACUACUGAGAUCUUUUGAGGGGUUGAUGCAUAUUCUCUAAAUCUAGUUCCAUGAAAAUUUAAAUCACAGCUAAACGAUGUUUACAUAUAGUACAGUUGUAAGUGUUCCUAAUAUUCACUGCAGUUAUUGUGUUUAAGGUUGAAUUAUUUCUCUAAUAUGCAAAGGAAGGAUGUUCCCCCUAGGUGCUUGAGAAAUUCGGUGGCGUAACCUUGCCCAAUGAAAAACCACAUAGAGUCCUAUAGAGACAUACAUGGUAUAGAGAGAGUAAAGUUGUGCAGAGCUAGGAAAGAGGAGGGACCCUAGAGAAGCCAAUGCCAACAUCCCGCAAAUAAUCAUCAUUUCUUUUGGAGAAUAUUUAGUUGUUUGUGGUGAUGAUGGCAAGUGUAUGGUUGGUGGUGGAGGAGGUGAUGAUGUCGUCAAUGAUGGUAGUGGUGGUGGUGGUGCUGAUGAUGAUGAUGAUGAUGAUUUUAAGCAAGUAGCAAAAGCACAACAAUAGAGGAGAAGCCAAAGAGUAGAGAGUAAUAUGGUGAAAGGGUUGGUGGAAAAGGGGGAAAUGGUAUCUUCUCCUUGACUUUUUAACUGAAGCAAGCUUAGAAGGAAUGUGACCAUGAAGGUGAAGAUACAAUUUAAGUAAUUUGGAUUGAGUGAUUUCGGCGGCUCAAUCGUAGGUGGUGGUUGAUGAAUGUUGUUGGGAGACAUGGAGAAGUUGCAAAUUACUAUAAUUUGCUGAAAAUUUGGCUGGUCUCGAGUACCACUUUGCUCCAUCUGAGAUUGGAAGGUUUGGUGUUAAGGAGGGAGAGAUUGUUGUUAAUGUUGGAGAAUGUUGGUUUAAGAGUAAGUGAAUUUUAUAGGUUAUGAUACUUGUGAAGUUUGCUGACGUAUAAUACUCUUCACUUUGAGGCUUUUGUCAAAGUUUGCUGACAAUGGUCUUCACUUUUGAGGUUUUGUAAAGUUUGCUGACGUAAAAUGCUCUUCACUUUGAGGCUUUUGUAAAAUUUGCUGAUGAAUGGAUCCAUACUACACUUUGACUCGACAUCGCACUUUGACUUUUCAGUAUUUAAAUAUUUAUUUAAUCCACCGUGCUUCA